rnacentral:misc_RNA from 1 species
UUUCCGUAGGUGAACCUGCGGAAGGAUCAUUAUUGUAUAACCGAGGUGCGAGGGCUGUCGCUGACCCCAUGGUUCGUUCAGGGCAGAGCGUUCUCAGUCCCAUCCGUCUCACCCCUAUCUGACUCACCGCGUGGAGCCCCCGUUAGCUGGUUCGGGGGGGCCUUACGUUUUCACACUAAGUUUGUAUGGUGUGUAGAAAGUAUUUUUAGUUUUUUCGGCCAUGCACUUGAUACAACUUGUAACAACGGAUCUCUUUGCACUCGCCGCGAUGAAGAACGG